CUUCCUCGAUCUGCUGCGGCGCGAUGAAAUGAAUAUGGCUGUCCAUGCCGCCAGCGGUGACGAUCUUCCCCUCGCCGGCGAUCGCCUCGGUGCCCGGGCCGACGAUGAUAUUGACGCCGGGCUGCAUAUCGGGGUUGCCUGCCUUGCCGAUCGCAGCGAUGCGCCCGUUCUUCAGCCCGAUAUCAGCCUUGUAGAUGCCGGAAUGAUCGACGAUCACGGCAUUGGUGAUGACGGUGUCGACCGCACCAUCCGCCCGCGUCACCUGGCUCUGGCCCAUGCCGUCGCGGAU
rfam:Rhizobium etli CNPAF512 RHECNPAF_contig350, whole genome shotgun sequence.